GGGGGAUAUUGCACAAUGGAGGAAACUCUGAUGCAGCGACGCCGCGUGAGGGAAGAAGGUUUUCGGAUUGUAAACCUCUGUCUUCGGGGACGAAACAAAUGACGGUACUCGAGGAGGAAGCCACGGCUAACUACGUGCCAGCAGCCGCGGUAAUACGUAGGUGGCAAGCGUUGUCCGGAAUUACUGGGUGUAAAGGGAGCGCAGGCGGAACUGCAAGUUGGGUGUUUAAUCUACGGGCUCAACCCGUAUCAGCAUUUGAAACUGCAGGGCUUGAGUGCAGGAGAGGAGAGUGGAAUUCCUAGUGUAGCGGUGAAAUGCGUAGAUAUUAGGAGGAACACCAGUGGCGAAGGCGACUCUCUGGACUGUCACUGACGCUGAGGCACGAAAGCGUGGGGAGCAAACA
rnacentral:rRNA from 1 species